GGCUUUUCUGAUGGUAGUGGGUUAUCUGAACUUAUUAGCAUUAGUAUCACUAAAGUUGAUAUACAACCCCCCAGGCUAAAUUAGACUGGCAAAA
ensembl:misc_RNA Y_RNA Y RNA